GACGAACGCUGGCGGCGUGCCUAAUACAUGCAAGUUGAGCGCUGAAGGUUGGUACUUGUACCAACUGGAUGAGCAGCGAACGGGUGAGUAACGCGUGGGGAAUCUGCCUUUGAGCGGGGGACAACAUUUGGAAACGAAUGCUAAUACCGCAUAAAAACUUUAAACACAAGUUUUAAGUUUGAAAGAUGCAAUUGCAUCACUCAAAGAUGAUCCCGCGUUGUAUUAGCUAGUUGGUGAGGUAAAGGCUCACCAAGGCGAUGAUACAUAGCCGACCUGAGAGGGUGAUCGGCCACAUUGGGACUGAGACACGGCCCAAACUCCUACGGGAGGCAGCAGUAGGGAAUCUUCGGCAAUGGACGAAAGGCUGACCGAGCAACGCCGCGGGAGUGAAGAAGGGUUUCGGAUCGUAAAACUCUGUUGGUAGAGAAGAACGUUGGUGAGAGUGGAAAGCUCAUCAAGUGACGGUAACUACCCAGAAAGGGACGGCUAACUACGUG
rnacentral:rRNA from 1 species